GGUUAAGCGACUAAGCGUACACGGUGGAUGCCCUGGCAGUCAGAGGCGAUGAAGGGCGUGCUAAUCUGCGAUAAGCGCCGGUAAGGUGAUAUGAACCGUUAUAACCGGCGAUACCCGAAUGGGGAAACCCAGUGUGAUUCGUCACACUAUCAUUAACUGAAUCCAUAGGUUAAUGAGGCGAACCGGGGGAACUGAAACAUCUAAGUACCCCGAGGAAAAGAAAUCAACCGAGAUUCCCCCAGUAGCGGCGAGCGAACGGGGAGGAGCCCAGAGCCUGAAUCAGCAUGUGUGUUAGUGGAAGCGUCUGGAAAGGCGCGCGAUACAGGGUGACAGCCCCGUACACAAAAGCGCAUGUGCUGUGAGCUCGAUGAGUAGGGCGGGACACGUGGUAUCCUGUCUGAAUAUGGGGGGACCAUCCUCCAAGGCUAAAUACUCCUGACUGACCGAUAGUGAACCAGUACCGUGAGGGAAAGGCGAAAAGAACCCCGGCGAGGGGAGUGAAAAAGAACCUGAAACCGUGUACGUACAAGCAGUGGGAGCACAGGUUUACCUGUGUGACUGCGUACCUUUUGUAUAAUGGGUCAGCGACUUAUAUUCUGUAGCAAGGUUAACCGAAUAGGGGAGCCGGAGGGAAACCGAGUCUUAAUUGGGCGUUAAGUUGCAGGGUAUAGACCCGAAACCCGGUGAUCUAGCCAUGGGCAGGUUGAAGGUUGGGUAACACUAACUGGAGGACCGAACCGACUAAUGUUGAAAAAUUAGCGGAUGACCUGUGGCUGGGGGUGAAAGGCCAAUCAAACCGGGAGAUAGCUGGUUCUCCCCGAAAGCUAUUUAGGUAGCGCCUCGUGAAUUCAUCUCCGGGGGUAGAGCACUGUUUCGGCUAGGGGGCCAUCCCGGCUUACCAACCCGAUGCAAACUGCGAAUACCGGAGAAUGUUAUCACGGGAGACACACGGCGGGUGCUAACGUCCGUCGUGAAGAGGGAAACAACCCAGACCGCCAGCUAAGGUCCCAAAGUCAUGGUUAAGUGGGAAACGAUGUGGGAAGGCCCAGACAGCCAGGAUGUUGGCUUAGAAGCAGCCAUCAUUUAAAGAAAGCGUAAUAGCUCACUGGUCGAGUCGGCCUGCGCGGAAGAUGUAACGGGGCUAAACCAUGCACCGAAGCUGCGGCAGCGACACUGUGUGUUGUUGGGUAGGGGAGCGUUCUGUAAGCCUGUGAAGGUGUGUCGUGAGGCAUGCUGGAGGUAUCAGAAGUGCGAAUGCUGACAUAAGUAACGAUAAAGCGGGUGAAAAGCCCGCUCGCCGGAAGACCAAGGGUUCCUGUCCAACGUUAAUCGGGGCAGGGUGAGUCGACCCCUAAGGCGAGGCCGAAAGGCGUAGUCGAUGGGAAACGGGUUAAUAUUCCCGUACUUGGUGUUACUGCGAAGGGGGGACGGAGAAGGCUAUGUUGGCCGGGCGACGGUUGUCCCGGUUUAAGCGUGUAGGUGUGUGUUCCAGGUAAAUCCGGUUCACUUUAACACUGAGGCGUGACGACGAGGCACUACGGUGCUGAAGCAACAAAUGCCCUGCUUCCAGGAAAAGCCUCUAAGCAUCAGGUAACAUCAAAUCGUACCCCAAACCGACACAGGUGGUCAGGUAGAGAAUACCAAGGCGCUUGAGAGAACUCGGGUGAAGGAACUAGGCAAAAUGGUGCCGUAACUUCGGGAGAAGGCACGCUGACACGUAGGUGAAGUGAUUUACUCAUGGAGCUGAAGUCAGUCGAAGAUACCAGCUGGCUGCAACUGUUUAUUAAAAACACAGCACUGUGCAAACACGAAAGUGGACGUAUACGGUGUGACGCCUGCCCGGUGCCGGAAGGUUAAUUGAUGGGGUCAGCGCAAGCGAAGCUCCUGAUCGAAGCCCCGGUAAACGGCGGCCGUAACUAUAACGGUCCUAAGGUAGCGAAAUUCCUUGUCGGGUAAGUUCCGACCUGCACGAAUGGCGUAAUGAUGGCCAGGCUGUCUCCACCCGAGACUCAGUGAAAUUGAACUCGCUGUGAAGAUGCAGUGUACCCGCGGCAAGACGGAAAGACCCCGUGAACCUUUACUAUAGCUUGACACUGAACAUUGAGCCUUGAUGUGUAGGAUAGGUGGGAGGCUUUGAAGUGUGGACGCCAGUCUGCAUGGAGCCGACCUUGAAAUACCACCCUUUAAUGUUUGAUGUUCUAACGUGGACCCGUUACCCGGGUUGCGGACAGUGUCUGGUGGGUAGUUUGACUGGGGCGGUCUCCUCCUAAAGAGUAACGGAGGAGCACGAAGGUUGGCUAAUCCUGGUCGGACAUCAGGAGGUUAGUGCAAUGGCAUAAGCCAGCUUGACUGCGAGCGUGACGGCGCGAGCAGGUGCGAAAGCAGGUCAUAGUGAUCCGGUGGUUCUGAAUGGAAGGGCCAUCGCUCAACGGAUAAAAGGUACUCCGGGGAUAACAGGCUGAUACCGCCCAAGAGUUCAUAUCGACGGCGGUGUUUGGCACCUCGAUGUCGGCUCAUCACAUCCUGGGGCUGAAGUAGGUCCCAAGGGUAUGGCUGUUCGCCAUUUAAAGUGGUACGCGAGCUGGGUUUAGAACGUCGUGAGACAGUUCGGUCCCUAUCUGCCGUGGGCGCUGGAGAACUGAGGGGGGCUGCUCCUAGUACGAGAGGACCGGAGUGGACGCAUCACUGGUGUUCGGGUUGUCAUGCCAAUGGCACUGCCCGGUAGCUAAAUGCGGAAGAGAUAAGUGCUGAAAGCAUCUAAGCACGAAACUUGCCCCGAGAUGAGUUCUCCCUGAGACUUAAAGUCUCCUGAAGGAACGUUGAAGACGACGACGUUGAUAGGCCGGGUGUGUAAGCGCAGCGAUGCGUUGAGCUAACCGGUACUAAUGAACCGUGAGGCUUAACCUU
rnacentral:rRNA from 2 species